GUCGCUAUGACCGAGUGGUUUAGGUACCGGCCUGCAAAGCCGUUUACACGGGUUCGAAUCCCGUUAGCGACU
rnacentral:tRNA from 1 species